rnacentral:tRNA from 1 species
GGAGAGAUGGCUGAGCGGUUAAAAGCAUUGGUUUGCUAAACCAAAGUAUAUACAUACACGUGGGUUCAAACCCCACUCUCUCCU